UGUACACCGCUUUUGUAGAGUGGAAGAAAACAUUUCCUUUCUUCUUCGCCUUUGAAGGGAAUUGAAAGAAAUCGAGGCAGCCAGUCCAUGGGUGAUUCUACCCCAAAUCUGAGUGCCCUGCCCGUCCAUGGAGCGAUGUUGUACCAAAUUGCUAGCGGAAAAAGAAACUGAUGCUGCCGCCCCAAAUUUGAGUGCCCUCCCGUACAUGGGGAGAUGUUGUACCAAAUUUUUUUGCCGAGGGCAGGACAUGCGCUGCGGAUCAGGUCUUGCCCACCAGCGAGGCCGUCCAUUGGCGCUCGGACAUAUAGCUUUGUGAUUUGGUUGAGGGGCCAUCUUCUGUGUGUUGUUCCUGUCGUCUUAGGCUGUAGACGUACUGACAGUACGAAUGGCCAUUUUGAGUCACUUGGUGACAUGAUGAUUCGAGUAGCAUUACCGGCAAACCCACCUUCAGUGUUAACUUAUGGUCUGGGAUUCCUGGGGAUGUCAAGGUGUUGAGGAACUCAGUAGGCUGCAUGUUCAUCAUGAUGUUGGUGUUUGUCGUGGCCUUGCACACUGUGUCCAGGCUUAGG